rnacentral:rRNA from 1 species
UCAGGAUGAACGCUAGCGGGAGGCCUAACACAUGCAAGCUGAGCGGUAGAGUUCCUUCGGGGACUUGAGAGCGGCGUACGGGUGCGGAACACGUGUGCAACCUGCCUUUAUCAGGGGGAUAGCCUUUCGAAAGGAAGAUUAAUACCCCAUAAUAUAAUUGAUGGCAUCAUUGAUUAUUGAAAACUCCGGUGGAUAAAGAUGGGCACGCGCAAGAUUAGAUAGUUGGUGAGGUAACGGCUCACCAAGUCGAUGAUCUUUAGGGGGCCUGAGAGGGUGAUCCCCCACACUGGUACUGAGACACGGACCAGACUCCUACGGGAGGCAGCAGUGAGGAAUAUUGGACAAUGGGUUAGCGCCUGAUCCAGCCAUCCCGCGUGAAGGACGACGGCCCUAUGGGUUGUAAACUUCUUUUGUACAGGGAUAAACCUUU